rnacentral:rRNA from 1 species
UACAGGGGGGGCAAGCGUUGUUCGGAAUUACUGGGCGUAAAGGGCGCGUAGGCGGCCUGCUAAGUCGAACGUGAAAUCCCCGGGCUCAACCCAGGAACUGCGUCCGAUACUGGUUGGCUUGAAUCCGGGAGAGGGAUGUGGAAUUCCAGGUGUAGCGGUGAAAUGCGUAGAUAUCUGGAGGAACACCGGUGGCGAAGGCGGUUCUCUGGGCAUGUCCUGACGCUGAGGAGCGAAAGUGUGGGGAGCGAACAGG